UGUGGAUGGGAUGGUUUUCUCUAACUUUCAGCAAUGAGUGGUUGCUUUCUUUGCCAGUACACGAGCUACUGGCUGGUACUGAAUGAAGUUGGGAGGAAGUGUAACGGAGCAGGAUUUUUUAAAUAUUCACUACAAGUACUUGUCUAAAUGUCGUCUUGGGUUCAGCUAACAAUCAUUUAUCAAUAACCGGCUGUAACAGCUAUCAAGAAACUACAUAAUUACAAUAAGUCGUUAGAUUAACGUACUAUCCUCAUCUGGUGAGAAGUCAACUUUUUAAAUCUUUGUAAUAAUCAAAGAUCUUUCUCUCGAAGCAAUUUCAGUUGGACCCGGGUAUGUCCUAAAACUGCGACCAGACACCGAGGGGUAGGCAGAAGCAUUAACAUUACAUAAUGUGAAUGGGAUGGUGUUUAUUCAUUUUAAGCAAUGAUACGUUGCUUUCUUUGCCAGUACACGAGCUACUGGCUGGUACUGAUUCAAGUUGAUAUUCGAUUAUGUAUUAUCUGUCAUUUCUAGACGUGUCUUAGUCCCGGUCGAACCCGGGUUCAUCUUAAAACCGCGAACAGUAGCCGAUGGCUAUGAUAUUUCAUCCCACUUUCCUAAAAAUGGGUUGACAAUGUAAUAUAGUCUACAGUGUGGGGCGAUAUUUUACGCGUGAUUAUCUAAAACUAAAUUCAUUCUUUAAUAUUUCUACUUUUUUCUCUAUUUCUAUUUAUCUCAAUGUUGUUUUGGAGUCAGAUAACAAUCAUGUGUCAAUAACUGGCUGUAAACAACUAUCAAGAAACUAUACAAAUAUAAUACGACACUUAAUUAAAAAUAGCCAAUCAUUGUUUUUCUUUAAAUUUGCAAUCCGCUUGCUGCUACUGAAUCAAAUUGAUAAAUCCGUCUCUAUGUAGAUGAACUUGGUUUCCCUACACAUAAUGUGGAUGGGAUGGUUUUCUCUAACUUUCAGCAAUGAGUGGUUGCUUUCUUUGCCAGUACACGAGCUACUGGCUGGUACUGAAUGAAGUUGGGAGGAAGUGUAACGGAGCAGGAUUUUUUAAAUAUUCACUACAAGUACUUGUCUAAAUGUCGUCUUGGGUUCAGCUAACAAUCAUUUAUCAAUAACCGGCUGUAACAGCUAUCAAGAAACUACAUAAUUACAAUAAGUCGUUAGAUUAACGUACUAUCCUCAUCUGGUGAGAAGUCAACUUUUUAAAUCUUUGUAAUAAUCAAAGAUCUUUCUCUCGAAGCAAUUUCAGUUGGACCCGGGUAUGUCCUAAAACUGCGACCAGACACCGAGGGGUAGGCAGAAGCAUUAACAUUACAUAAUGUGAAUGGGAUGGUGUUUAUUCAUUUUAAGCAAUGAUACGUUGCUUUCUUUGCCAGUACACGAGCUACUGGCUGGUACUGAUUCAAGUUGAUAUUCGAUUAUGUAUUAUCUGUCAUUUCUAGACGUGUCUUAGUCCCGGUCGAACCCGGGUUCAUCUUAAAACCGCGAACAGUAGCCGAUGGCUAUGAUAUUUCAUCCCACUUUCCUAAAAAUGGGUUGACAAUGUAAUAUAGUCUACAGUGUGGGGCGAUAUUUUACGCGUGAUUAUCUAAAACUAAAUUCAUUCUUUAAUAUUUCUACUUUUUUCUCUAUUUCUAUUUAUCUCAAUGUUGUUUUGGAGUCAGAUAACAAUCAUGUGUCAAUAACUGGCUGUAAACAACUAUCAAGAAACUAUACAAAUAUAAUACGACACUUAAUUAAAAAUAGCCAAUCAUUGUUUUUCUUUAAAUUUGCAAUCCGCUUGCUGCUACUGAAUCAAAUUGAUAAAUCCGUCUCUAUGUAGAUGAACUUGGUUUCCCUACACAUAAUGUGGAUGGGAUGGUUUUCUCUAACUUUCAGCAAUGAGUGGUUGCUUUCUUUGCCAGUACACGAGCUACUGGCUGGUACUGAAUGAAGUUGGGAGGAAGUGUAACGGAGCAGGAUUUUUUAAAUAUUCACUACAAGUACUUGUCUAAAUGUCGUCUUGGGUUCAGCUAACAAUCAUUUAUCAAUAACCGGCUGUAACAGCUAUCAAGAAACUACAUAAUUACAAUAAGUCGUUAGAUUAACGUACUAUCCUCAUCUGGUGAGAAGUCAACUUUUUAAAUCUUUGUAAUAAUCAAAGAUCUUUCUCUCGAAGCAAUUUCAGUUGGACCCGGGUAUGUCCUAAAACUGCGACCAGACACCGAGGGGUAGGCAGAAGCAUUAACAUUACAUAAUGUGAAUGGGAUGGUGUUUAUUCAUUUUAAGCAAUGAUACGUUGCUUUCUUUGCCAGUACACGAGCUACUGGCUGGUACUGAUUCAAGUUGAUAUUCGAUUAUGUAUUAUCUGUCAUUUCUAGACGUGUCUUAGUCCCGGUCGAACCCGGGUUCAUCUUAAAACCGCGAACAGUAGCCGAUGGCUAUGAUAUUUCAUCCCACUUUCCUAAAAAUGGGUUGACAAUGUAAUAUAGUCUACAGUGUGGGGCGAUAUUUUACGCGUGAUUAUCUAAAACUAAAUUCAUUCUUUAAUAUUUCUACUUUUUUCUCUAUUUCUAUUUAUCUCAAUGUUGUUUUGGAGUCAGAUAACAAUCAUGUGUCAAUAACUGGCUGUAAACAACUAUCAAGAAACUAUACAAAUAUAAUACGACACUUAAUUAAAAAUAGCCAAUCAUUGUUUUUCUUUAAAUUUGCAAUCCGCUUGCUGCUACUGAAUCAAAUUGAUAAAUCCGUCUCUAUGUAGAUGAACUUGGUUUCCCUACACAUAAUGUGGAUGGGAUGGUUUUCUCUAACUUUCAGCAAUGAGUGGUUGCUUUCUUUGCCAGUACACGAGCUACUGGCUGGUACUGAAUGAAGUUGGGAGGAAGUGUAACGGAGCAGGAUUUUUUAAAUAUUCACUACAAGUACUUGUCUAAAUGUCGUCUUGGGUUCAGCUAACAAUCAUUUAUCAAUAACCGGCUGUAACAGCUAUCAAGAAACUACAUAAUUACAAUAAGUCGUUAGAUUAACGUACUAUCCUCAUCUGGUGAGAAGUCAACUUUUUAAAUCUUUGUAAUAAUCAAAGAUCUUUCUCUCGAAGCAAUUUCAGUUGGACCCGGGUAUGUCCUAAAACUGCGACCAGACACCGAGGGGUAGGCAGAAGCAUUAACAUUACAUAAUGUGAAUGGGAUGGUGUUUAUUCAUUUUAAGCAAUGAUACGUUGCUUUCUUUGCCAGUACACGAGCUACUGGCUGGUACUGAUUCAAGUUGAUAUUCGAUUAUGUAUUAUCUGUCAUUUCUAGACGUGUCUUAGUCCCGGUCGAACCCGGGUUCAUCUUAAAACCGCGAACAGUAGCCGAUGGCUAUGAUAUUUCAUCCCACUUUCCUAAAAAUGGGUUGACAAUGUAAUAUAGUCUACAGUGUGGGGCGAUAUUUUACGCGUGAUUAUCUAAAACUAAAUUCAUUCUUUAAUAUUUCUACUUUUUUCUCUAUUUCUAUUUAUCUCAAUGUUGUUUUGGAGUCAGAUAACAAUCAUGUGUCAAUAACUGGCUGUAAACAACUAUCAAGAAACUAUACAAAUAUAAUACGACACUUAAUUAAAAAUAGCCAAUCAUUGUUUUUCUUUAAAUUUGCAAUCCGCUUGCUGCUACUGAAUCAAAUUGAUAAAUCCGUCUCUAUGUAGAUGAACUUGGUUUCCCUACACAUAAUGUGGAUGGGAUGGUUUUCUCUAACUUUCAGCAAUGAGUGGUUGCUUUCUUUGCCAGUACACGAGCUACUGGCUGGUACUGAAUGAAGUUGGGAGGAAGUGUAACGGAGCAGGAUUUUUUAAAUAUUCACUACAAGUACUUGUCUAAAUGUCGUCUUGGGUUCAGCUAACAAUCAUUUAUCAAUAACCGGCUGUAACAGCUAUCAAGAAACUACAUAAUUACAAUAAGUCGUUAGAUUAACGUACUAUCCUCAUCUGGUGAGAAGUCAACUUUUUAAAUCUUUGUAAUAAUCAAAGAUCUUUCUCUCGAAGCAAUUUCAGUUGGACCCGGGUAUGUCCUAAAACUGCGACCAGACACCGAGGGGUAGGCAGAAGCAUUAACAUUACAUAAUGUGAAUGGGAUGGUGUUUAUUCAUUUUAAGCAAUGAUACGUUGCUUUCUUUGCCAGUACACGAGCUACUGGCUGGUACUGAUUCAAGUUGAUAUUCGAUUAUGUAUUAUCUGUCAUUUCUAGACGUGUCUUAGUCCCGGUCGAACCCGGGUUCAUCUUAAAACCGCGAACAGUAGCCGAUGGCUAUGAUAUUUCAUCCCACUUUCCUAAAAAUGGGUUGACAAUGUAAUAUAGUCUACAGUGUGGGGCGAUAUUUUACGCGUGAUUAUCUAAAACUAAAUUCAUUCUUUAAUAUUUCUACUUUUUUCUCUAUUUCUAUUUAUCUCAAUGUUGUUUUGGAGUCAGAUAACAAUCAUGUGUCAAUAACUGGCUGUAAACAACUAUCAAGAAACUAUACAAAUAUAAUACGACACUUAAUUAAAAAUAGCCAAUCAUUGUUUUUCUUUAAAUUUGCAAUCCGCUUGCUGCUACUGAAUCAAAUUGAUAAAUCCGUCUCUAUGUAGAUGAACUUGGUUUCCCUACACAUAAUGUGGAUGGGAUGGUUUUCUCUAACUUUCAGCAAUGAGUGGUUGCUUUCUUUGCCAGUACACGAGCUACUGGCUGGUACUGAAUGAAGUUGGGAGGAAGUGUAACGGAGCAGGAUUUUUUAAAUAUUCACUACAAGUACUUGUCUAAAUGUCGUCUUGGGUUCAGCUAACAAUCAUUUAUCAAUAACCGGCUGUAACAGCUAUCAAGAAACUACAUAAUUACAAUAAGUCGUUAGAUUAACGUACUAUCCUCAUCUGGUGAGAAGUCAACUUUUUAAAUCUUUGUAAUAAUCAAAGAUCUUUCUCUCGAAGCAAUUUCAGUUGGACCCGGGUAUGUCCUAAAACUGCGACCAGACACCGAGGGGUAGGCAGAAGCAUUAACAUUACAUAAUGUGAAUGGGAUGGUGUUUAUUCAUUUUAAGCAAUGAUACGUUGCUUUCUUUGCCAGUACACGAGCUACUGGCUGGUACUGAUUCAAGUUGAUAUUCGAUUAUGUAUUAUCUGUCAUUUCUAGACGUGUCUUAGUCCCGGUCGAACCCGGGUUCAUCUUAAAACCGCGAACAGUAGCCGAUGGCUAUGAUAUUUCAUCCCACUUUCCUAAAAAUGGGUUGACAAUGUAAUAUAGUCUACAGUGUGGGGCGAUAUUUUACGCGUGAUUAUCUAAAACUAAAUUCAUUCUUUAAUAUUUCUACUUUUUUCUCUAUUUCUAUUUAUCUCAAUGUUGUUUUGGAGUCAGAUAACAAUCAUGUGUCAAUAACUGGCUGUAAACAACUAUCAAGAAACUAUACAAAUAUAAUACGACACUUAAUUAAAAAUAGCCAAUCAUUGUUUUUCUUUAAAUUUGCAAUCCGCUUGCUGCUACUGAAUCAAAUUGAUAAAUCCGUCUCUAUGUAGAUGAACUUGGUUUCCCUACACAUAAUGUGGAUGGGAUGGUUUUCUCUAACUUUCAGCAAUGAGUGGUUGCUUUCUUUGCCAGUACACGAGCUACUGGCUGGUACUGAAUGAAGUUGGGAGGAAGUGUAACGGAGCAGGAUUUUUUAAAUAUUCACUACAAGUACUUGUCUAAAUGUCGUCUUGGGUUCAGCUAACAAUCAUUUAUCAAUAACCGGCUGUAACAGCUAUCAAGAAACUACAUAAUUACAAUAAGUCGUUAGAUUAACGUACUAUCCUCAUCUGGUGAGAAGUCAACUUUUUAAAUCUUUGUAAUAAUCAAAGAUCUUUCUCUCGAAGCAAUUUCAGUUGGACCCGGGUAUGUCCUAAAACUGCGACCAGACACCGAGGGGUAGGCAGAAGCAUUAACAUUACAUAAUGUGAAUGGGAUGGUGUUUAUUCAUUUUAAGCAAUGAUACGUUGCUUUCUUUGCCAGUACACGAGCUACUGGCUGGUACUGAUUCAAGUUGAUAUUCGAUUAUGUAUUAUCUGUCAUUUCUAGACGUGUCUUAGUCCCGGUCGAACCCGGGUUCAUCUUAAAACCGCGAACAGUAGCCGAUGGCUAUGAUAUUUCAUCCCACUUUCCUAAAAAUGGGUUGACAAUGUAAUAUAGUCUACAGUGUGGGGCGAUAUUUUACGCGUGAUUAUCUAAAACUAAAUUCAUUCUUUAAUAUUUCUACUUUUUUCUCUAUUUCUAUUUAUCUCAAUGUUGUUUUGGAGUCAGAUAACAAUCAUGUGUCAAUAACUGGCUGUAAACAACUAUCAAGAAACUAUACAAAUAUAAUACGACACUUAAUUAAAAAUAGCCAAUCAUUGUUUUUCUUUAAAUUUGCAAUCCGCUUGCUGCUACUGAAUCAAAUUGAUAAAUCCGUCUCUAUGUAGAUGAACUUGGUUUCCCUACACAUAAUGUGGAUGGGAUGGUUUUCUCUAACUUUCAGCAAUGAGUGGUUGCUUUCUUUGCCAGUACACGAGCUACUGGCUGGUACUGAAUGAAGUUGGGAGGAAGUGUAACGGAGCAGGAUUUUUUAAAUAUUCACUACAAGUACUUGUCUAAAUGUCGUCUUGGGUUCAGCUAACAAUCAUUUAUCAAUAACCGGCUGUAACAGCUAUCAAGAAACUACAUAAUUACAAUAAGUCGUUAGAUUAACGUACUAUCCUCAUCUGGUGAGAAGUCAACUUUUUAAAUCUUUGUAAUAAUCAAAGAUCUUUCUCUCGAAGCAAUUUCAGUUGGACCCGGGUAUGUCCUAAAACUGCGACCAGACACCGAGGGGUAGGCAGAAGCAUUAACAUUACAUAAUGUGAAUGGGAUGGUGUUUAUUCAUUUUAAGCAAUGAUACGUUGCUUUCUUUGCCAGUACACGAGCUACUGGCUGGUACUGAUUCAAGUUGAUAUUCGAUUAUGUAUUAUCUGUCAUUUCUAGACGUGUCUUAGUCCCGGUCGAACCCGGGUUCAUCUUAAAACCGCGAACAGUAGCCGAUGGCUAUGAUAUUUCAUCCCACUUUCCUAAAAAUGGGUUGACAAUGUAAUAUAGUCUACAGUGUGGGGCGAUAUUUUACGCGUGAUUAUCUAAAACUAAAUUCAUUCUUUAAUAUUUCUACUUUUUUCUCUAUUUCUAUUUAUCUCAAUGUUGUUUUGGAGUCAGAUAACAAUCAUGUGUCAAUAACUGGCUGUAAACAACUAUCAAGAAACUAUACAAAUAUAAUACGACACUUAAUUAAAAAUAGCCAAUCAUUGUUUUUCUUUAAAUUUGCAAUCCGCUUGCUGCUACUGAAUCAAAUUGAUAAAUCCGUCUCUAUGUAGAUGAACUUGGUUUCCCUACACAUAAUGUGGAUGGGAUGGUUUUCUCUAACUUUCAGCAAUGAGUGGUUGCUUUCUUUGCCAGUACACGAGCUACUGGCUGGUACUGAAUGAAGUUGGGAGGAAGUGUAACGGAGCAGGAUUUUUUAAAUAUUCACUACAAGUACUUGUCUAAAUGUCGUCUUGGGUUCAGCUAACAAUCAUUUAUCAAUAACCGGCUGUAACAGCUAUCAAGAAACUACAUAAUUACAAUAAGUCGUUAGAUUAACGUACUAUCCUCAUCUGGUGAGAAGUCAACUUUUUAAAUCUUUGUAAUAAUCAAAGAUCUUUCUCUCGAAGCAAUUUCAGUUGGACCCGGGUAUGUCCUAAAACUGCGACCAGACACCGAGGGGUAGGCAGAAGCAUUAACAUUACAUAAUGUGAAUGGGAUGGUGUUUAUUCAUUUUAAGCAAUGAUACGUUGCUUUCUUUGCCAGUACACGAGCUACUGGCUGGUACUGAUUCAAGUUGAUAUUCGAUUAUGUAUUAUCUGUCAUUUCUAGACGUGUCUUAGUCCCGGUCGAACCCGGGUUCAUCUUAAAACCGCGAACAGUAGCCGAUGGCUAUGAUAUUUCAUCCCACUUUCCUAAAAAUGGGUUGACAAUGUAAUAUGGUCUACAGUGUGGGGCGAUAUUUUACGCGUGAUUAUCUAAAACUAAAUUCAUUCUUUAAUAUUUCUACUUUUUUCUCUAUUUCUAUUUAUCUCAAUGUUGUUUUGGAGUCAGAUAACAAUCAUGUGUCAAUAACUGGCUGUAAACAACUAUCAAGAAACUAUACAAAUAUAAUACGACACUUAAUUAAAAAUAGCCAAUCAUUGUUUUUCUUUAAAUUUGCAAUCCGCUUGCUGCUACUGAAUCAAAUUGAUAAAUCCGUCUCUAUGUAGAUGAACUUGGUUUCCCUACACAUAAUGUGGAUGGGAUGGUUUUCUCUAACUUUCAGCAAUGAGUGGUUGCUUUCUUUGCCAGUACACGAGCUACUGGCUGGUACUGAAUGAAGUUGGGAGGAAGUGUAACGGAGCAGGAUUUUUUAAAUAUUCACUACAAGUACUUGUCUAAAUGUCGUCUUGGGUUCAGCUAACAAUCAUUUGGAUUUCGAUUGUCUUGGGUCUAACAUGACGAACGAAUGAAGUUAAAUGUUCGUUAGUAAAAUUGUCAUGACUGUAAGUUCGGAGGAAGUGUGAACCUAUACCUAUGAGACAGGAUUAGGAUUGUCUCGGGUCUAACAUGACGAACGAAUGAAAUCAAAUGUUCUUUUGUAAAAUUGGUAGUCUGUAUUCAUAAACCAGUUUUCCCUACACAUAAUGUAAAUGGGAUGGUCUUAUUUAACAUUUCGAUGAUUUCGCCGGUGGUUACAGCAGCGCCAUCGGCGACGGAGAGGAGGCAGGAGCUGCUGAUCACGAAGUAUAUCAAUCCCUCAUACUUCGUGAUUUUUUGGUUUAUCCCGCGUUUUCAUUAUUUUACUUUACCCACACCCAAACGUCCAGGUAAACAAAUUACAGAAAUGUAAUAUUUCUCACCAACCCACUCAGUUACAUUUCAGUUCGUAUACAUUUAAAGCGAAAAGUAUUUGAUCGAAAUUGCUGUGAAUUUAGAAAUCUGCUUGUGUGCCGUAUCGGUACCCGGAGGUAAGAUUAGUCGACGAUUUACACCUGGACGAAAAGGUUUUACCUUUGGUCUGGAUAAAUUAUUAAUGAUCAACAAGUUUACCGCACAGGCAACCGGGUUAAUUUUUUAUUUUUUUUAUUGACUAAUAAAUAUAGGUGCUCAUCAUCAUUUCAUCAUCAGUCUCGGAAAUUGUAACUAAAAUGUUUUCACCAGGUUCCUUUUCGAUUAUCACCAUUUCACAUUACAAUAGAAUAAAACAGCCGGGUUCAUUUGCAAUUAUACAUAUAAUCUUAUGUUCUCAUUAAGUUCCCUUAGAUCGGGACAGGUGAAGAGGAUCCUUUGACCAGGCAGGAUGAUCGUGUCUGGCGGGCUUUCUGCCCAGCAGUUGAUAAUUGAGAUUUUCUAUCCAUAUCAGUUUACAUACUAAACUUUACAUGUGCGAUCUAGAAUGUGUGUCGUUGAUCAUCUAGCGUCUAUGUGCGUCAUCUGUACUUCAAUAUGCGUCGUCACAAUUUUUAACAUUACCAGAAAGGAUCCCUUCCAAUCAAAGUAAAGAACAUUUUAUUCUUUUAAAGAUCUUAUCUAAGUACUGAUAUAAAGACAGUAAUUUUUUUGUAGGGUUCAUAUCGUAUUUACAGCCAUAAUUAUUACUUUAUUUUUAAUUCAUUGACUCGCCGGUGGUUACAGCAGCGCCACCGGCGACGGAGAGGAGGCAGGAGCUGCUGAUCACGAAGUAUACCAAUCCCUCAUACUUCGUGAUUUUUUGGUUUAUCCCUCGUUCUCAUUAUUUUACUUUACCCACACCCAAACGUCCAGGUACAAAAAUUACAGAAAUGUAAUAUUUCUCACCAACCCACUCAGUUACAUAUCAGUUCGUAUACAUUUAAAGCCAAAAGUAUUUGAUCGAAAUUACUGUGAAUUUAGAAAUCUGCUUGUGUGCCGUAUCGGUACCCGGAGGUAAGAAUAGUCGACGAUUUACACCUGGUCGAAAAGGUUUUACCUUUGGUCUGGAUAAAUUAUUAAUGAUCAACAAGUUUACCGCACAGGCAACCGGGUUAAUUUUUUUUUUUAUUAUUGACUAAUAAAUAUAGGUGCUCAUCAUCAUUUCAUCAUCAGUCUCGGAAAUUGUAACUAAAAUGUUUUCACCAGGUUCCUUUUCGAGUAUCACCAUUUCACAUUGUAAUAGUGUAACACAACCGGGUUCAUUUGUAAUUAUAUAAUCUUAUGUUCUCAUUAUCAGCAAUAGUACAGUUCAAACACAUAUUUAAUUUAUGGUGCUAUUAAUUGCACUUUCUAUGUGCGGCGCCGGUGGCGGGCAGCAGCGUCACCGGCGAUUCACCCACUGCUGAUCACCAACUAACUGUUCUUGGUUCUUGGUGAUACAAAUUUUUAAGUUUCACUGUACCAUUGUGUUCAAACUAAUCCGUUUGGAAUCUUCAUUUGCUUCAUAAAUCGAAAUCAAGGAGCUCAAAAUGUAUAAUAAGAUGUGGUUAGUUCUCUUUACCGUUUUCGAUAAAAGCAAAUAGGAUUUCAAGCGGACGUUUUUUGUGACUAGUUAUAAGAUAUACGACUGAUAUGCUACUGGAAAUUUUUGUUAACAACCACAGCAAACAGAUAAUAUUCAAAACAUGUUAUUACAAUUUAUUAUGAGCCUUAAAUCGGACACAUUAACGAUACAUUGUUAUUUAUCUAUAUACGAAUAAACAUGCUGUAAUCAUUUAACUCUUUAAAACAUAUUUGAUUUUGUAAGAUGGCAUCGAUAGCAACUUAAAUACACCGUUGGGUUUGACGAGCCUUGACCUUUAUAAGAAUAUUCAUCUAUCUUAAACGAAUGCAUAAAAAAACAUGGAAUUUCUAACUCACUCCAAUCACGGAACAGAGGCAAUAUGAACUUUUGUACCCCGUAGAAGAUUACAUAAAGUAGAGUGUGACUGGUUUGGCCAAAAUAAGACGACACCGUGAACUUCCAAAAGCUGAAGCACCAACAAGAGAUGAGAUGAGAGGGAGAACGAAGCUAAUACACGUAACUAUGGCGUGUGUAUUUAAAAUAAACCACAAUUUAAAGAGAGAACUUCUAACAGAUGGGCGUUUACCACCAGCUACUACAAAAGGAACAAACUUAAACGUAAUUUACUUCACAACUGUGGCACUAUCGCAAAAAUCUUAGAAGCAAACGAUAUAAUUCUCCGAACUCUUCUGAAUACACAACCACAGAAGAUCAACCACCAUGUCAACUCUGUGACAGCAUCGUAUCAUUCAUUUACCCAUUCAACCGAGCAGAUCUACAAUGAAUUGUUUUUGGGCAACAGAAAAUUCUUUGUACCAUUCCUAACACGUGGUUUUAAUUUUCAUACGAAAGACUGAAGACAACAAUAGCACAACUUUCGACAAAUGGUUUUAUUUUAAAGCAAACAGACAAUCAAGACGACUGACGAAUGGAAAGUACAGCACCUGUCCGAUUGUUUCUACCGAUUCUUACUUAUGGGUAAGAAGCUAAACUAAGAAAUUUACAAGACAUCAAUAGAAGGCAUCAUCAAUUCAUGAAAAUCAGUCACGAUGAAAACAAGUUAUAAGUAACCGCACCAAAACACAACAUUUUGCAAUAUCCAGACAUUUUAAUGGCAAUAGACAACUCAUACAAUAAGAAGCAACAAAGAAAUAGAAAACGAUGCUGAUAAAUUCGAAGGUGGGAGGUUCGACAUCAGAUAAAGGCGAGAGCAGAAGAACUUUAGACCAGCAGAGUUCUAAACCGUGUGUGGAUAAUUAACAUAUUGAACGCAGUGGUGGUCACCGGUGAUCGACGUUAGCGGAGGAUUUGCCUUCAACAGUUUUCUAUUGGCAGUCAAAGACUUAAGGGAGACCUUUGCAAAGUGCAAGAACGGUAGAAGUUAUCGAUGUCAUCAACUCAAUAGACUGGUGAAUAAUAUUAUUUUGAAAUGUUUGCUUUCUCAUUAUCCAUAAAACAAUUACAAUAGUCACAAACACACAAAGGUUACAUACAGUUCACAAUUUAACAAUAGUAUUCAACUUUUUUUUGUCCGACUAAAGGCUGUUCUUUUUUAUUGUGAUUUAUUAAAUUUGUACCAAGCAAAAACUUUCGACGAGUUACUGACAAAAAUGUUUGUUAAUUUCUAAUUAAACACUAUGCAAAAUUGUAACGGGCAGCAGUUUCAAGGGCAGUAUCUACUGAAACCACAUUAAAACCUCACUUGUAUUCUGCUGUUUGAGAAAAUAGUUAUAAACGUUAAGAACCCACCGUUUUACCUUACCUCACAAUAGACAAAGCAUGUCAGUCUUUAGCUUUAAUACACUAAGCUUAUGUAACGUAAGGACGUUGUCUAUAAUCAUCUUCAUAAUUUAUAAGACAGAUAACAAAUUUAUUUUUAUCACUAAUGCGUGAAUUAUUUGGAAAAUGGUGAAUGUGUUGGAUAUGAGUGACAAAAUGAUUAAAAAUUAUUAAUGAUCAAAAAGUUUACCGCACAAGCAACCGGGUUACUUUUUUCUUUUAUAUUGACUGAUAAAAUAUAGGUGCUCAUCAUCAUUUCAUCAUGAGACUCGGAAAUUGUAACUAAAAUGUUUUCACCAGGUUCCUUUUCGAUUAUCACCAUUUCACAUUGUAAUAGUGUAACACAACCGGGUUCAUUUGUAAUUAUAUAAUCUUAUGUUCUCAUUAUCAGCAAUAGUACAGUUCAAACACAUAUUUAAUUUAUGGUGCUAUUAAUUGCACUUUCUAUGUGCGGCGCCGGUGGCGGGCAGCAGCGUCACCGGCGAUUCACCCACUGCUGAUCACCAACUAACUGUUCUUGGUUCUUGGUGAUACAAAUUUUUAAGUUUCACUGUACCAUUGUGUUCAAACUAAUCCGUUUGGAAUCUUCAUUUGCUUCAUAAAUCGAAAUCAAGGAGCUCAAAAUGUAUAAUAAGAUGUGGUUAGUUCUCUUUACCGUUUUCGAUAAAAGCAAAUAGGAUUUCAAGCGGACGUUUUUUGUGACUAGUUAUAAGAUAUACGACUGAUAUGCUACUGGAAAUUUUUGUUAACAACCACAGCAAACAGAUAAUAUUCAAUAGAUGUUAUUACAAUUUAUUAUGAGCCUUAAAUCGGACACAUCAACGUUACAUUGUUAUUUAUCUAUAUUUGAAUAAACAUGCUGUAAUCAUUUAACUCUUUAAAACAUAUUUGAUUUUGUAAGUUGGCAUCGAUAGCAACUUCCAUACACCGUUGGGUUUGACGAGCCUUGACCUUUAUAAGAAUAUUCAUCUAUCUUAAACGAAUGCAUAAAAAAACAUGGAAUUUCUAACUCACUCCAAUCACGGAACAGAGGCAAUAUGAACUUUUGUACCCCGUAGAAGAACACAUAAAGAGGAAUGUGACUGGUUUGACCGUAAUAAGAAGACACCGUGAACUUCCAAAAGCUGAAGCACCAACAAGAGAUGAGAUGAGAGGGAGAACGAAGCUAAUACACGUAACUAUGGCGUGUGUAUUUAAAAUAAACCACAAUUUAAAGAGAGAACUUCUAACAGAUGGGCGUUUACCACCAGCUACUACAAAAGGAACAAACUUAAACGUAAUUUACUUGACAACUGUGGCACUAUCGCAAAAAUCUUAGAAGCAAACGAUAUAAUUCUUGGAACUCUUCUGAAUACACAACCACAGAAGAUCAACCACCAUGUCAACUCUGUGACAGCAUCGUAUCAUUCAUUUACCCAUUCAACCGAGCAGAUCUACAAUGAAUUGUUUUUGGGCAACAGAAAAUUCUUUGUACCAUUCCUAACACGUGGUUUUAAUUUUCAUACGAAAGACUGAAGACAACAAUAGCACAACUUUCGACAAAUGGUUUUAUUUUAAAGCAAACAGACAAUCAAGACGACUGACGAAUGAAAAGUACAGCACCUGUCCGAUUGUUUCUACCGAUUCUUACUUAUGGGUAAGAAGCUAAACUAAGAAAUUUACAAGACAUCAAUAGAAGGCAUCAUCAAUUCAUGAAAAUCAGUCACGAUGAAAACAAGUUAUAAGUAACCGCACCAAAACACAACAUUUUGCAAUAUCCAGACAUUUUAAUGGCAAUAGACAACUCAUACAAUAAGAAGCAACAAAGAAAUAGAAAACGAUGCUGAUAAAUUCGAAGGUGGGAGGUCCAACAUCAGAUAAAGGCGAGAGCAGAAGAACUUUAGACCAGCAGAGUUCUAAACCGUGUGUGGAUAAUUAACAUAUUGAACGCAGUGGUGGUCACCGGUGAUCGACGUUACCGGAGGAUUUGCCUUCAACAGUUUUCUGUUGGCAGUCAAAGACUUGGGAGAGACCUUUGCAAAGUGCAAGAACGGUAGAAGUUAUAGAUGUCAUCAACUCAAUAGACUGGUGAAUAAUACUAUUUUGGAAAUGUUUGCUUUCUCAUUAUCCAUAAAACAAUUACAAUAGUCACAAACACACAAAGGUUACAUACAGUUCACAAUUUAACAAUAGUAUCCAUCUUUUUUUUGUCCGACUAAAGGCUGUUCUUUUUUUUAUUGUGAUUUAUUAAAUUUGUACCAAGCAAAAACUUUCGACGAGUUACUGACAAAUAUGUUUGUUAAUUUCUAAUUAAACACUAUGCAAAAUUGUAACGGGCAGCAGUUUCAAGGGCAGUAUCUACUGAAACCACAUUAAAACCUCACUUGUAUUCUGCUGUUUGAGAAAAUAGUUAUAAACGUUAAGAACCCACCGUUUUACCUUACCACACAAUAGACAAAGCAUGUCAGUCUUUAGCUUUAAUACACUAAGCUUAUGUAACGUAAGGACGUUGUCUAUAAUCAUCUUCAUAAUUUAUAAGACAGAUAACAAAUUUAUUUUUAUCACUAAUGCGUGAAUUAUUUGGAAAAUGGUGAAUGUGUUGGAUAUGAGUGACAAAAUGAUUAAAAAUUAUUAAUGAUCAAAAAGUUUACCGCACAAGCAACCGGGUUACUUUUUUUCUUUUAUAUUGACUGAUAAAAUAUAGGUGCUCAUCAUCAUUUCAUCAUGAGACUCGGAAAUUGUAACUAAAAUGUUUUCACCAGGUUCCUUUUCGAUUAUCACCAUUUCACAUUGUAAUAGUGUAACACAACCGGGUUCAUUUGUAAUUAUAUAAUCUUAUGUUCUCAUUAUCAGCAAUAGUACAGUUCAAACACAUAUUUAAUUUAUGGUGCUAUUAAUUGCACUUUCUAUGUGCGGCGCCGGUGGCGGGCAGCAGCGUCACCGGCGAUUCACCCACUGCUGAUCACCAACUAACUGUUCUUGGUUCUUGGUGAUACAAAUUUUUAAGUUUCACUGUACCAUUGUGUUCAAACUAAUCCGUUUGAAAUCUUCAUUUGCUUCAUAAAUCGAAAUCAAGGAGCUCAAAAUGUCUAAUAAGAUGUGGUUAGUUCUAGAUUUUGAGGUCUUUACCGUUUUCGAUAAAAGCAAAUAGGAUUUCAAGCGGACGUUUUUUGUGACUAGUUAUAAGAUAUACGACUGAUAUGCUACUGGAAAUUUUUGUUAACAACCACAGCAAACAGAUAAUAUUCAAAACAUGUUAUUACAAUUUAUUAUGAGCCUUAAAUCGGACACAUCAACGUUACAUUGUUAUUUAUCUAUACUUGAAUAAACAUGCUGUAAUCAUUUAACUCUUUAAAACAUAUUUGAUUUUGUAAGAUGGCAUCGAUAGCAACUUAAAUACACCGUUGGGUUUGACGAGCCUUGACCCUUAUAAGAAUAUCAAGCAGGCAAAGUAUGGAAUUUCUAACUCACUCCAAUCACGGAACAGAGGCAAUAUGAACUUUUGUACCCCGUAGAGGAACAUAUAAAGAGGAAUGUGACUGGUUUGACCGAAAUAAGAAGACACCGUGAACUUCCAAAAGCUGAAGCACCAACAAGAGAUGAGAUGAGAGGGAGAACGAAGCUAAUACACGUAACUAUGGCGUGUGUAUUUAAAAUAAACCACAAUUUAAAGAGAGAACUUCUAACAGAUGGGCGUUUACCACCAGCUACUACAAAAGGAACAAACUUAAACGUAAUUUACUUGACAACUGUGGCACUAUCGCAAAAAUCUUAGAAGCAAACGAUAUAUUUCUCCGAACUCUUCUGAAUACACAACCACAGAAGAUCAACCACCAUGUCAACUCUGUGACAGCAUCGUAUCAUUCAUUUACCCAUUCAACCGAGCAGAUCUACAAUGAAUUGUUUUUGGGCAACAGAAAAUUCUUUGUACCAUUCCUAACACGUGGUUUUAAUUUUCAUACGAAAGACUGAAGACAACAAUAGCACAACUUUCGACAAAUGGUUUUAUUUUAAAGCAAACAGACAAUCAAGACGACUGACGAAUGGAAAGUACAGCACCUGUCCGAUUGUUUCUACCGAUUCUUACUUAUGGGUAAGAAGCUAAACUAAGAAAUUUACAAGACAUCAAUAGAAGGCAUCAUCAAUUCAUGAAAAUCAGUCACGAUGAAAACAAGUUAUAAGUAACCGCACCAAAACACAACAUUUUGCAAUAUCCAGACAUUUUAAUGGCAAUAGACAACUCAUACAAUAAGAAGCAACAAAGAAAUAGAAAACGAUGCUGAUAAAUUCGAAGGUGGGAGGUUCAACAUCAGAUAAAGGCGAGAGCAGAAGAACUUUAGACCAGCAGAGUUCUAAACCGUGUGUGGAUAAUUAACAUAUUGAACGCUGUGGUGGUCACCGGUGAUCGACGUUACCGGAGGAUUUGCCUUCAACAGUUUUCUAUUGGCAGUCAAAGACUUAAGGGAGACCUUUGCAAAGUGCAAGAACGGUAGAAGUUAUCGAUGUCAUCAACUCAAUAGACUGGUGAAUAAUAUUAUUUUGGAAAUGUUUAUUUUCUCAGUAUCCACAUAACAAUUACAAUACUCACAAAUACAUUAAGGUUACAUACAGUUUACAAGUUAACAAUAGUAUCCAUCUUUUUUUGUCCGACUAAAGGCUGUUAUUUUUAUUGUGAUUUAUUAAGUUUAUACCAAGCAAAAACUUUCGGCGAGUUUCUGACAAAUAUGUUUGUUAAUUUCUAAUUAAACACUAUACAAAAUUGUAACGGACAGCAGUUUCAAGGGCAGUAUCUACUGAAACCACAUUAAAACCUCACUUGUAUUCUGCUGUUUGAGAAAAUAGUUAUAAACGUUAAGAACCCACCGUUUUACCUUACCACACAAUAGACAAAGCAUGUCAGUCUUUAGCUUUAAUACACUAAGCUUAUGUAACGUAAGGACGUUGUCUAUAAUCAUCUUCACAAUUUAUAAGACAGAUAACAAAUUUAAUUUUUAUCACUAAUGCGUGAAUUAUUUGGGAAAGGGUGUUAAAUGUGUUGGAUAUGAGUGACAAAAUGAUUAAACCAUUGGUCUUCCAGAUUGUUAAUGUAAAUGAUUAGCAAAUAAUUGCAAAACAUUUACAUCAAUUGAUCAAAUUAAAAAUUGUAUAUAUUAUAAUUGUGUAAUUAGGACAUAGGUUGGUAAGCGAUUUUUUGCAAGAACAUGUGUGUAUUGGGAACACUCUAGUUCCAUUAUGGUGUAAAAUGGAGUGCAGUGUGAAUGUUAGAGGUAAAUAAGAAAGGUUAUGUAUUGCCACAAGUUAAAUGUAAACGAUUAGUGUUAAGCAUAAAUUUGUUAACUGCUUUAAUAUAAGUUUUUUCUCUAAUAAAUGUCAUAAAAUUGUAAAA